GUUUUUCAAGAGGUCGUUGAACAAUAACACAUGGAGUUACAAAAAUUACAUCCACAGACAGCUACUACUAUAUUAUACAACUACUAUAUUAUACAAUUACUAUAUUAUGUUAAAAAUAUUUACAAGAUUCAGCGACGGUCAAGUAUAGACUUACAUUUUGCUACACCAAUCCCUUUCUCUUUUGCAUAUUUUUGCAAGUCAUUCCAAACUGAAGCGGCAGAAUAGGUAAUACUGGUCUUCAUAAAAUUAGUUUUUGGUUUCUUUAAAAACAAAAUCCGUAUUGUUGUUGCGUAAACUAUGAUUUGAGUUAUUUUUCAUUUCGUAUUUACCAAUCAUUGAUUGUGGCAGUUUAACAUUAUUUUUAACGUUUUAUGCAAACAUUGCAGCAUGAGCUCCACCUUUGAAUUUACUAUAUGAGUAAAUUCUUAAACACGUCCGAAUUUAUCAUAAUAAUAAAUUCGCGGCACCUAACACUAACCCUAACCCUAACCCCAACACUAACCCUAACCCCAACCCUAAUCACUAACCACUAACCCCUAACCCUAACUUUUUUAACUUUUUAAAUUUUUUUAACUUUUUUAAGAAUCUAACUUUUUAAACUUUUUUGCUAUUUUUUGAAAAUCUUGAAAAUCUCCGCACCCCCGCGCGACCAGCCUCCCUUUUAGUGCCAUUACAUUUAUAACAAGAAGUCUUGUCUAAUGCUUGUGGUUUUAUGAUUAAUUCUAUUGAUAAAUUCAAAAUGUGCCGCGAAUUUAUCAUAAUGAUAAGUUCAGACGUGUUUAAGGAUUUACUCAUAUAGUAAAUUCAAAGGUGGAGCUCAUGUUGAAACAUUGCUCUCUUGUUCCGGCAACGAUCUUUCUAGGGUAGCCAGUCCAGUUCACUUAAUAUGUUUUCGGAACUUAUGUCGUAACUAUACUGCCAGUGAUUACUCGCGCCGCCCUGUUUUGUAAUUUUUUCAGUUUUUUUAAUAAAUAAUCCGCGCAUUCAUCUCAAACAAGGCUGCAAUAAACAAAAUGUGACAAAAUUAUUGCAUUAUAGAAUUUAAUUAAUGUAGAAGUAGAUACAUAUUCUUUAAUUCGACGUAGCAUACCUAUGCCCUUAGAAACGUUUUUCGUGAUAUUAACAAUAUGUGCGUUCCAUGUUAAAUGAUCGUCAAUUACUACACCUAACGUUUUGGAUGUAUUAACUCGUUUAAUUGUUGCUUCUCCCAGUUCAAUUGGUGGAUCAAUAAUUAUAUUAGCUAGACGUUGUUUAGAUGCUAUUAUCAUAUACUCAGUCUUUUCGCUGUUUAAUGUGAGUUUAUUGGCAAGUAGCCAUUGAUGCACCUUCUCCAAGUUUUCAUUCAAUCUUUCAUUAAUUUCAUGUACGUUUGCUCCACAUCACCACAUGAUGAUAUAUUUGUAAACAUACUUACACUAGUACUAGAAGAAAGGCAAUUAGGUAGAUCAUUAAUAUAUAUCAAGA